CAAGGCCCGAGUGGCUGUGUGUUGUUGACAUGAGUUAGCCACGUCAAGGACUCUGGCGUUAGACCCAUGGGAAAUGGCAAAGCACCCCACCCCACCUCGCCAAGGCUGGGGUGAGGCUCGGAGGGCUGGCAGAGCUUUCCUCUUGCCAGAUGUUGAUGGUGUGUGCCGAGACCAUCAUCGCGGCUUCCCCACCAGACUCAGGCUCUGCUUUCCUGACAGGAAGACCUCAGCGACGCCCCUGCGUACGGCUCUGAGCCGAGACAGACACACAAUGUGGCUCUACCCCAUCAGGAAGGAUGUGGGCUGUAACUAUCUGGCUGUACGAGGUUUUAUCAACCAUAAGACACCUCAGGGCAAGAGAGCAGAGAGCAGCACGAGACCUGGAGCAGACUCUGCCUCUGAGAGCACAAAGAGUGUUGAGUCAUCGCGCUAAGUAAGUCAGUUAUAGAGCCCAUGAUCUCCGAGGCCAGCGACGGUGAGUACUUAUGUCCA